rnacentral:rRNA from 1 species
UGGGGAAUAUUGCACAAUGGGCGAAAGCCUGAUGCAGCAACGCCGCGUGAGUGAUGAAGGUCUUCGGAUUGUAAAGCUCUGUCUUUUGGGACGAUAAUGACGGUACCAAAGGGGAGGAAGCCACGGCUAACUACGUGCCAGCAGCCGCGGUAAUACGUAGGUGGCGAGCGUUGUCCGGAUUUACUGGGCGUAAAGGGUGCGUAGGCGGAUGUUUAAGUGAGAUGUGAAAUACCCGGGCUUAACUUGGGUGCUGCAUUUCAAACUGGAUAUCUAGAGUGCAGGAGAGGAGAAUGGAAUUCCUAGUGUAGCGGUGAAAUGCGUAGAGAUUAGGAAGAACACCAGUGGCGAAGGCGAUUCUCUGGACUGUAACUGACGCUGAGGCACGAAAGCGUGGGUAGCAAACAGGAUUAGAUACCCUGGUAGUCCACGCCGUAAACGAUGAGUACUAGGUGUAGGAGGUAUCGACCCCUUCUGUGCCGCGGUAAACACAUUAAAGUACUCCGCCUGGGAAGUACGAUCGCAAGAUUAAAAC